GAGGGUGAGGCCUGCCCAAUGGUUGUAUCUAAAAGCGGUUGAUAAAAGUCGACCUCGUAAGGACAAUUGAAUGGCCGCGGUAACACUGACCGUGAUAAUGUAGCGUAAUCAAUAGCCAAUUAAUUGUUGGCCAGUAUGAAUGGCGCCACGAAGGCCCCACUGUCUUAAGGAAAUUCCCAGUGAAAUUGAAUUCGUAGUGAAGAUGCUACGUCCAAUUUGUUAGACGAAAAGACCCCGUUGAGCUUUACUGGGGCACUUACACGGCCCCGGCCUUCCAAACUAGGCUUACGAUGCCUAGGGAUUGGCCGAAUUUAAAUGGGCGGUUUAGACUAUGUGGCAGCCCCCCGUCGGGGCAGAUGAAACCCCACUCCCCCAUGUCAAAGGGGCUAACCCCCCCCUUGGGGGGGACAGUGUAAGUAGGACAGUUUGGUUGGGGCGACCGCCUUUUAAAGAGUAACGAAGGUGCGCUUAAGGUGCGCAAAUAAUGACUGAAGCCUGACUGCGAGGGGGACACCCCGAGCAGACACCCCCAAGCCCGCCCGAAGGGCGGCGGCGGGGUGG
rnacentral:rRNA from 4 species